rnacentral:lncRNA from 1 species
AGAAAAUGUCUUUUAGAGUUUCUUGAGAUGAAAUGUGGGCUUAAAAUAUUUUAAUAAAAUGAAAAGGUGACACCUCAGUUAUUUUCUAAUUUUAUUUCAGUGACAUGAUGCCUCAAAUAAUAUUUUUGUGGACUAAGCUGAAUAGUUAAGCAUAGUUUAGUUUAUAACAUCUUUAUAUGGGAAAACAUGUUCCAAGUUCUGAACAACCAAUUUCCAAACAAACUUUUGGAACUCAACACAUUCCUAUGUUAAGAACUGCCUGUACUGGUUUCAACCUGUGAACUCACCAACAGCUUGGUCAGGGUUAUUAGCAAAAUAUCAAAAUUGGCUCAUUUAACUAUUCCAUUCCACUUAUUCAUUUGUCCAUUCAUUCAUGCAUGCAUGCAUGUAUACAUGCAUUCAGCAAAUAUUUAUGAAGAGCCUACUUUAGCAGGGCCCUGGGCAGGAAGUGAAAUGAUAAGAACACAGAAUAGAACGAGACAUGGUUGUUCCGUGUCUCACUAGGGAAACCUCUUAGUGAAGCAAAUAAACCAACAAUUCUAAUACAAUAUUUAAAAAAAAAAAAAGAAGAAGAAGAAAGGAAGAGAGAUAAAGAAAGAGAAAAAUAAAGGUAAAUGGGAGACACUCCAGGAAGGGAGGUCAAGGCCUCAAAAAGAAGUAUCUCAGUGUGGACAGGAUACUGCAAGGAGGUCAGCAUUCUGAAGAGUGCAGUGCAAGCUAUGAACUGGCAAGCUAUGAUGCUGGACCUGUGAUCAUGAGGGAAUCAAUAAGCCAUUUUAAGUAAGGACCUACACACUGAAGUAUUUUGAGGUUGUAAGACAAAAUGCCUACAACUCACUCUUGAAUGAUUCAGCAAAGAAACGUACAUACAUACAUGCAUAGGGGGUUAUACCAGAAGAGAAAGGGGCAAAGAUAACAUAUGGAAACACAUUACAAAGGAGCAGAAAUGGUGGAGAAAAGCACCGUGUGCCUCCAAUGAAAGAAAGAGGCCACAACUUGUCCCCAGUUUGAGACAAGAACCUAAAAAUCUUGCCUUUCAGGCCACCAUAUCUCCAUCUUCUAUGCAAAAUAGUUAUUUUGGGAUCCAUCUGUAUGGCAAAUCCAGGAAGACUUCAUGCCACUUAUUUAAGAGUCUGGGCUCCAUCCUAUGUACAGCUCUGCAAAGCAUGCUGGGACCCGAUCAGCUGCCUGUGCACAGAACCAGAAAGGGAAGGAGAAGCUACUUUGGCUCUUGAGUUGAAGUUUAGCCACAGACCUCAAGGGAGCAUCCAGAUUUAUCUGGUUUUGACCAUUCAUGCUGCCAGUAACACCUCUGGACUCCCUUCCUCCCUCCCUCUUCUCCACCAGGGUCAGUGAGAUGAUGAGUGUUCCAUCACUUUGUAAGCUCUAAGUGCUGUACAGCUAUAGGCCAUUAUGUACCACAGCUUCUUCACUAAACACGGUAGCAAAGUACACCUUCCUCUUUCUCUUCUCCUAUUGCAACCCCAAACAAAAUACUAUUCUCUCUACCAAAGUUCCUCCCACUACCUGCUUAUUUAACAAAUUCUCUCUGCAUCAGAUUUCUCAUAACUCAGUUCUUCCAGAAGGCCAUAUGCUGAUUCAUCUUAGGACCUAGAAAAUGGACAGGCAAGAAUGAGAUGCUUAGAAUCGGCCUACCCUAUCCCCCUGUGUUUACCUGACCCUUUCUUUUGUGAAUCACUUAACACUCACCACCUACAAUAAACAUAAAUAGAC